AGAGUUUGAUCAUGGCUCAGGAUGAACGCUAGCGGCAGGCUUAAUACAUGCAAGUCGAGGGGCAACAGGGGUAGCAAUACCUGCUGGCGACCGGCAAACGGGUGCGCAACACGUACAGAACCUUCCUUUAAGCGGGGGGAUAGCCCAUAGAAAUGUGGAUUAAUACCCCAUGGUAUUGUGGUAUGGCAUCAUACUAUAAUUAAAGAUUUAUCACUUAAAGAUGGCCGUGCGUCUGAUUAGGUAGUUGGUCGGGGUAACGGCCCACCAAGCCAACGAUCAGUAACUGGUGUGAGAGCACGACCAGUCACACGGGCACUGAGACACGGGCCCGACUCCUACGGGAGGCAGCAGUAAGGAAUAUUGGUCAAUGGACGCAAGUCUGAACCAGCCAUGCCGCGUGAAGGAUGAAGGCCCUCUGGGUUGUAAACUUCUUUUAUCUGGGAAGAAAUGCCUGAUUUUGAUUGGGUUUGACGGUACCAGAGGAAUAAGCACCGGCUAACUCCGUGCCAGCAGCCGCGGUAAUACGGAGGGUGCGAGCGUUAUCCGGAUUCACUGGGUUUAAAGGGUGCGUAGGUGGGUUGGUAAGUCAGUGGUGAAAUCUCCGUGCUUAACAUGGAAACUGCCAUUGAUACUACUGGUCUUGAAUUUUCUGGAGGUAAGCGGAAUAUGUCAUGUAGCGGUGAAAUGCUUAGAUAUGACAUAGAACACCAAUUGCGAAGGCAGCUUACUACAGGGACAUUGACACUGAGGCACGAAAGCGUGGGGAUCAAACAGGAUUAGAUACCCUAGUAGUCC
rnacentral:rRNA from 1 species